rnacentral:rRNA from 1 species
GGCCUCCGAAUUGUGGUCUAGGAAGGCGCCAUCGGCCGCGCGCGUCGCCGAAAUCCCUUGGAAGAAGGUAUCGGAGAAGGUGAGAAUCCUGUGCCGUGGCGCGUGGUGGCCUCACGAUGCGUCCUUGUCGAGUCGGGUUGCUUGGGAUUGCAGCUUGAAGUGGGUGGUAAAUUCCAUCUAAAGCUGAAUAGUGGCGAGAGACCGAUAGCGAACAAGUACCGUGAGGGAAAGAUGCAAAGAACUUUGAAAAGAGAG